GAUGAACGCUGGCGGCGUGCCUAAUACAUGCAAGUCGAGCGAACAGAUGAGGAGCUUGCUCCUCUGACGUUAGCGGCGGACGGGUGAGUAACACGUGGAUAACCUACCUAUAAGACUGGGAUAACUUCGGGAAACCGGAGCUAAAACCGGAUAAUAUAUUGAACCUCAUGGUUCAAUAGUGAAAGACGGUUUUGCUGUCACUUAUAGAUGGAUCCGCGCCGCAUUAGCUAGUUGGUAAGGUAACGGCUUACCAAGGCAACGAUGCGUAGCCGACCUGAGAGGGUGAUCGGCCACACUGGAACUGAGACACGGUCCAGACUCCUACGGGAGGCAGGAGUAGGGAAUCUUCCGCAAAGGGCGAAAGCCUGACGGAGCAACGCCGCGUGAGUGAUGAAGGUCUUCGGAUCGUAAAACUCUGUUAUUAGGGAAGAACAAAUGUGUAAGUAACUAUGCACGUCUUGACGGUACCUAAUCAGAAAGCCACGGCUAACUACGUG
rnacentral:rRNA from 1 species